AGUUGCUGGCACUCAAUCGACACAAUAGUGGUCUUGAACCUCCUAGAAAUAGCUUAGAGGUUCCUCCUAUGAAUACUUAUCAUAAUUUUCAACUGGUUCAUGAAGACAUUCAAUGCUCAAGUUACUAUAAAGAGGACAUUUGCCAACAAUCUCAC